rnacentral:rRNA from 1 species
CCUACGGGGGGCAGCAGUCGAGAAUCAUUCACAAUGGGGGAAACCCUGAUGGUGCGACGCCGCGUGGGGGAAUGAAGGUCUUCGGAUUGUAAACCCCUGUCAUGUGGGAGCAAAUUAACAAGAUAGUACCACAAGAGGAAGAGACGGCUAACUCUGUGCCAGCAGCCGCGGUAAUACAGAGGUCUCAAGCGUUGUUCGGAAUCACUGGGCGUAAGGCGUGCGUAGGCUGUUUAGUAAGUCGUGUGUGAAAGGCGCGGGCUCAACCCGCGGACGGCACAUGAUACUGCGAGACUAGAGUAAUGGAGGGGGAACUGGAAUUCUCGGUGUAGCAGUGAAAUGCGUAGAUAUCGAGAGGAACAAUCGUGGCGAAGGCGGGUUCCUGGACAUUAACUGACGCUGAGGCACGAAGGCCAGGGGAGCGAAAGGGAUUAGAUACCCCUGUAGUC